CAAAUUGUCAUGACUUUAGCUCAAUUUGAGUAAAAAACCCAUUCGCUACUAGUUUUAGCAUUCACUGUAUAGCAUUGACACAAACCGCGUUGUUUUUGUCAGAUGAUUGUGUUUUGUUUUUCCGCUAAGUCAAAUCCGUUGAAUCGGAAUGAAAAGUUGUCUGCUGAUUUUCCUCGCCAGAAUGCUGUGCCUUAUAAAGGUUCUACCGCCCGAUUGGAAAUUUAAAAAGCAGCCAAUUUCCAUGUCAACAAAUCGACCAACCUACAACGGAAAUUUGGAAACAGAAGUUUGAAAAGUUUGUAAGACUUAAUGUAGCAGGUGAACUUAUUGGAGGCGUGCUUCCGGGAAAUUGAUCGGUUGCGUCGAAACAGGAUGGAAAUAACCGUUCGUGGAAGACCAGCACCAAGUGUCAGGAAGUUCCAAGCGGUUGGUAAUGGGACCUUUCAAAUCGACCGCCGUCGGUUCCGAUAUGUGGCAUGGUCCAGAUUACCUGAAUCACUUCCAGCUGAGAUUACACCAGAUUCCUGAGAAACAACCGAAACUGGCGAACAAUUAGUAUCUGCAGAACGAAACAGCAGAAAAAUUUUCAAUAAUAUUCGAAUCCAGUGUUUGGUUGGAAAGAAUUAUCGAGCUGCUGUGGCGGACUACACCACUCUACGGUGCACCAAAAUGUAGAUCCCUCAGAUCCGGGCCAGAGGGGUUUGCCGGUUCAUCUCGACGGACGGGGAAAAUAGAAGUUAAAACCAAGCUGAUGUAGGACAUCAACAGAUGCUAAAUGCUAACCAAGAAAUCCAGUCAGUGUAGCUUGAUCAUAUACUUUGAC